rnacentral:rRNA from 1 species
GACGAAGGGGGCUAGCGUUGUUCGGAAUUACUGGGCGUAAAGCGCACGUAGGCGGCUUUGUAAGUAAGAGGUGAAAGCCUGGAGCUCAACUCCAGAACUGCCUUUUAGACUGCAUCGCUUGAAUCCAGGAGAGGUGAGUGGAAUUCCGAGUGUAGAGGUGAAAUUCGUAGAUAUUCGGAAGAACACCAGUGGCGAAGGCGGCUCACUGGACUGGUAUUGACGCUGAGGUGCGAAAGCGUGGGGAGCGAACAGG